rnacentral:lncRNA from 1 species
UUUUUUUUUUUUAAUAAAGUAUCCAAGGAUUGCCAGUCCACACCCAGCACUUGGGAGGCAGAGGCAAGUGGAUUAAUGUCAGUUCAAGGACAGCCAGGACUACACAGGAAAAAAAACCUUGUCUUGAGGAAAAGAGGAGGGGAAUAAAAGUAUCUAAAGAAAUAGCAUGAAAAUAUCAGCCCUCUUUUUCUUUUCUGCCUCAGAGGUAUUAUAUGCUAAGCUUCUGGGUUUUAGCCUGGCCGUGGUAGUGCACACCUUUAAUCUCAGCACUCACUUGCGAGGCAGAGAUGCAAGUUUGAGGCCAGCCUGGUUUACAGAGGGUUCCAGAAUAGCCAGGGCUACAUACUGAGUAUUAUAUUUUUAAUCUACAAAGUAUUUCUUCCAUUCUUUUUUGUGGAAAUUUUUAAUUUUACCUUGUUGUUUAAUGAUAGAAUAUUUUCAAAAUAGUCUAAAGAGCCUGCAUUUUUUUUGUAUUGUUCGUAGUAGAGUUACUCUAUACUUGUGCAGUUCAUGUAAAAUUGAGUAUGCUUUUUCAAGCUAUAUCUAAAUUUUAAAUACUUUUUAUUCCAGAUUUGCAUAAUUUCAACUAUAUUCUAAUUUCAGUGUGUAACUUAAUUUAAUUUGAGAGACCUGGAGUUUAGAAAAGAGAGACAUAAAUAUAAGCUUUCUACAAAGAGGAAUCACUUACUUCCAUAUGCUUAGUUAAAUGAACUCUUUUCGCCUUAGAUUGGGUUUCAUGAGACCACGCUAUUAUCCCAUGUACAACAGAGCCUAAUGCAGAGUAUUUAGACUGAAUUUAACCUUAUCUUUGCAUAAUGACUUGACAUAAUCUAAGCUCCACCACGUGAAAUAAUCAAAAUUGUAUGAUGGUAUAAUGUCUUUCAUUUUGAUCAUUAGAUGACUUUACAAUAUGAUAGUAACAAGGCUGCAGGUUCAGAGGUUUAUAUAUAGAUCAGGAAGAAAGCCUUACAUUAAGCCAGUGUUAAACACAAGGGGACAAAGGGUACUUGGGACAGAAAUGAGUAGAUUGUAAGUGUCUUGAUCCAGGAUGAAAGCUUUGUACAAAGAAUGUUCAUCUUCAUAACACUGUAGAUCUUCCACUUGUUCAGUAUAGGACUGUUCUGACAGAAAUACUGUUAGGUAAGCUUUUCCAUGUACUUAGCUCACUGUUGAUGUACUAUCAACUCAAAUACGUGCAUUAGUGGGUGAAUUUCAAAGAAAAAUCAGUUUAAAAUGGACUGCCAAAAUCUUUUUUGGGGUCCGCAGUCCUUAAGCAUAUAUUCCUAAUGAUAACUAUUUGAAUAAAGAUAAACUAUCAAUUAGUAGAGAUUAAUAGAAGCUUAAUUUUAAUUAAAGUAGAAUUUGAUAGAACAUUAGUACAGAGUGCUUUUAUUAUUCCUUUUCUCCUGUGUAUUUGCUCUUGUAUUACUGUUUUGUUAAUGUAGACGGUGACAUUUUGUUCAUCCAAUUAAUAAUUUUGUAGUUUUCACAUAGACGAGAGCAAAAACGUGACAUUUUUAUAUAUAUCCUGAACUGUCUAACCUAUUUUAAGGUAUCAUCUCUGUAUUUUGAAUGUAUAUCUUAAUGUAUAUCAGACAUAAUAAUAGUAUAUUGUUAUUUGGUGUAUCUAGUGGCCUAGCCAUUAAUGAGUCUAUGAUCAAACUUUGGAAUGAUGGUUUGGUUUGGUUUGGUUUUUUUGGGGGGGGAGCAGUGUCUUAAUGUAGUUCAGGCCUUGAAUUUGCAGUGUGGCCACGGGUGAUCUUGAAUUCUUGAAAGCAUUGGGAUUAUAGGAUUGUGACAC